rnacentral:rRNA from 1 species
UACAGAGGUCCCAAGCGUUGUUCGGAUUCACUGGGCGUAAAGGGUGCGUAGGUGGCCGGGUAAGUCUGACGUGAAAUCUCCAAGCUCAACUUGGAAACUGCGUCGGAUACUAUCCGGCUAGAGGAUCGGAGGGGAGACUGGAAUACUUGGUGUAGCAGUGAAAUGCGUAGAUAUCAAGUGGAACACCAGUGGCGAAGGCGGCUUACUGGUCCGGUUCUGACGCUGAGGCGCGAAAGCGUGGGGAGCAAACAGG